rnacentral:lncRNA from 1 species
CCUUGUCUUGUUCCUGACUUUAGCGGAAAUUCUUUCAAUGCUCUACACUGCAUUCUAUAAGUACCUCAGUGUCUCUCUCUUUUUUUUUUUCUCUCCAGACAUUCAUGAAUGACCAGUUUUUAUGACUGUGGAUGCACUGAUGACAUCAUUGCUGACUGUCCCAGGGAGAAGCAUUGGACUCUCCACUUGAGAAACAACUGCUUUAAAAUAGCCAAAGUCAUAAAUCAUGUCAAAGCAAAGCUAUUUAUGGAGAUAACAACAGAAUGGUGUGCACACUUCUUCUUGAAGGCUGUUCUCUAA